rnacentral:lncRNA from 1 species
GAAGCGAGGCUUCUUUUCCCGUUGCCAGCACACCGACUGCAGAGAAGUGCAGCCCGCAGAGAUGUCGGUUUCUGUUGCUUUAAAAAAAAGUUUCCUUUUGGCGAGGGCGGUGAGGGGUUGUUUACUGGGUCUGCAAAGCCUCACUGUGGGUUGCAGCUGGGGGGUGGAUUUGGGACCAAAGUCUGCACCCACAACCCUGAACCUCUGGAUCCUGUGCAAAGGCAAGGUGUGUGGAAUAAACACCUGCUGUGCACCCAGCUGGACUCUACAGCACCUACUGUGUAUUCACACUCCUGCAGGAACCCGUGUUCUUAAAGAUGAAUAAUGCUCCGCCCCCCGUGCCGGGUCUUCUGGGGAUGAGCCACAGCCUGGAGGAGCUGAGGAGGCCACAUCACAUGAGGAAGCUUUACUGUUUCCCCUUCUCCUGAAAUGUGUCUGGGAUGGAGAGUGUGGAGAGUGGGCCCACCUUUAUCUGGGUCCACUCAGGCUGCUGCAGAGACUACCCCAGACUGGGUGGCUGAUAGACAAGACAUUCAUUUUCCACACUUCCUGAGACUGAGAAGUCUGAGUUGAAGAAACCUGGAAGCAAGGAAGCCGCCACCAUGAUGCAGCGGGGAGUCCGAGGCCCUGGGAGGUCAUAUGACUCAUUCACGGUCAUCCUGCUGUGGCAGAGAUGCGAUGAAGCCCUGGCUUUGACCCCAACCCCAGGUGCCAGAGUCUUCCCUGCCCUGUACAGCCCUGCUCAUGCCAUGGUCUCCUGUGGACGUUCCCUCCUUCCCACGUUGGCGGUAUUGCUGUCCAAGCUUUGCAGGGGAGGAAUCUGAGGAAUUGAGAAGUCAAGUAACACACCCAAUAGGAUAACUAGGCCUUCUUGGCAGCCAACCUCGAAGCACCACAUCGGGCUUUGAAAUGUGCGGGGCCUUUGAGAUUCAGCGCAUCUGAAUCUGAAUUUAUGCCCUCUCACUUGCUGGAAUCUACUGAUCUGUCCACUGUUCCUGGAAGAAAUACUUUGUUUUCAUGUGCCAGUUGCCUUUCCAGCCUGACUGUCAGCCCAAGGUCGCAGGAGAAGAUCUGAUUGCAUGUCCUUGCUUUUGCUGCUCCCAUUCCAAGAACCAGCUUCCUCCUCUGGAAGGUCGACUGAGGGGGGCUUGACUGGACUUGGCUCAAGGCUGCAAGUGGUCCAGGUCUGCUCUGUGUGUCUUUCAUCCUCCCCAACCAGUUAGAAAACGUGAUAUCCUCUUCUACGAUGAUGAUGGAAAUACAAAAUUGGUGUUCAGGCACUUCAGGACCUCUCACCUCUGUGAAGGGACUUGGGAGACACCCAGAAAAUGUGGGAGAGAGCGUUUGGAAGAGAAUCGAAUUUCCUUUCUGCAUCUGUGUGCUGGUGCCCAGUGCACCCUGGGACGCUAACGAACAGUGACAGAUGAGCUUCAAUUGGCUGGCGCGUGUGAGGAACCACUGGACCAGGCAAAAGAAAGCAUCAUCGGAGCCCAGCAUGGGAGGAGGAGAGAGGCUUUGCUUCAUGAAAGCCUGAACAGCAUCCAACCGAAACCAGCCACCGCCGCCGCGCCCUGACGUGGUACUCUGCAGUUUUCAGAGUGCAUCGCAUCCAUUAUCUCCCCUGACCCACAGACAGGCCGGCGAAGAAGGCUGAUAUGAGCUUCACAACCUUGGACCAGCAAGGCCAUUGCAAUAAAAGCCGAGGUUGGGAAGAGUGAGGCUCAGAGACCACAGAGAUACUUUGACACAUGGAAAAAGGCAAGACUUCCUUCCCAGGAGAUUUAUCAUUCUUCAAAAAAAUGGGGUUCUCAAAGAUUCAAGGUAUUUGCUAUUCAUGCUAUUCAUGCAAACACACUUGUGCCUUGGUGUUUUAUGGUAAGGAUUCUGGGAACCAUAGUGAAGACCAGAAUCUCCAUUCCUGACACCCGUGUACUGGAAGCCACUCCCCUCGCCCCUCCCAAAUUAAAUCCACUUGGAGCCUCAGAAUGGGACAUUUCUUGGAAUAAGGAUUUCAGCAGACAUAAUUAGAGUAAGGGAGAGAUGACCUCAUCCUGGAGGAGGGUGGACCCUUAGUCCAAUGACAAGUGUCCUUAUGGGAGACAGAAAGGAGAAGACACAUAGACACAGGGGAGAAGGUCCUGUGAAGACAAAGGCAGAAGCUGCAAUGAUGGGUUUACAAGCCAAGGAAUGCCAGGGGUUUCUGGCAUCACAGAAUCUAGGAGAGUAUCUGGAAUGGACUUUUUUUUUUUUCCCAAGGUCAUUGCUUACUUUUAUUUAUUUAGUGAUUUUUAUUUUUUUUCAUUACAGUUGGUUUUCAGUGGUCUGUCAAUUCUCUACUAUACAGCAAAGUGACCCAGUCACACAUACAUAUAUACAUUUUUUAUCACAUUAUCUUCUAUCAUGUUCCAUCACAAGUGAGUAUAUAUAGUUCCUAGUGCUAUACAGCAGGAUCUCAUUGCUUAUCCAUUCCAAAGGCAAUAGUUUGCAUCUGGAAUGGACUUUCAGAGCUUCCAGAAGGAACCAAUCCUGCCAACACCCUGAUUUCAGACAUCUGGCCUCUAGAACUGUUGAGAACUGUUACUUCAAGCCACCCAAUUGUGGUCAUUUGUCACCUAGGCACCUCUAGUAAGUGAAUGAAAUGGAGCAGUGUAAAAAUACAAGGGAAGCCCAGCAGGGCCAUCGGGACCAGGAAGUCGGGGGUCCUCACCCCUCGCCAUCACGUGUGGGUACCCUCUGCUUCUCUUCCUGGCACCUCUCAGCUCCUCUAUCACUCUGCUCUUCCAGCUGCCACCAGCCCGCCACAUUGCCCCUCCAGAGGUCCUCCCUUUGCUUAAGGCUCUGCUGCUGAGCUGUCCUGUGUCUAUCAGUCUGGGGUCUUUCCAUGUCUGUUACAUAUGCUAACCUGCCAACUCUCUCAUUAUAUUAAAAAUGUCCAAGAGAGGUGAGCUGAUGGUUGAGCUCACCACCAUCACCCCCCAAAGGGCAAAGCUUUCACCCCAGGCCAGCUCACAGGCAGCAGACCUUGGCCCUGAUCCUCCAGGCAUGGCCAGGGAGGUGGGCCAGGCAUUCCCAUCAGCACAGGGGGCCCUGGAAGGGCAGGACAGAUGCCUGGAAACAGUCCCAGGUUGGUGGCCCCUUCAAUGCUGAGACUAAACUUCCUGCAGAAUUGAAGAAUAGGCAGUAGGAAGGCGAAAGGGAAGAAGCACUUUUUUUUUUUUUUCCAAUAGAAGAAGGAAAGUGUCAUCAAUAGAAGCUGUUGAAAAGUCCAAAUUGCAACCUUCUUGCCUCCUUUUGAUGAGCUGCCUUGAUGAGCUGUUUAGAAGAGCUCAUUGCUCUGGGUCAGCGUGACAGCUGUUGAUGACAAGGGGUAGGCGGGGAGAGGUUAGGCAGGAGGAAUAUGCGGCCAGGGCCCUGGCCAUGAUGGAUAUGCACCAAGCUUGUGCACCCCAGGUCUUUGCAAAGGGUCCAUGACAAACAGCCCAUGGUGCAUUGGGUGUUUUACUGUAAUUCACUCCCCAAAUGCUUCUGGUGUGCAGCCCUGUGCUGAAGACACUGCCGAGACAUCCUCUCAUUCACUUUCUCCCAAGCUCCAGAGAGUGGAUGUCAGGUUGAGCUUAUGUAGUUCAGGGAUUGCAGAUGUGAACACCCAAAGUCCCAGAACCAGUACGUGAUGGAGUCAGGAUUCAAACUUAGGUCAGAGGAGGCUAGAGACAUGGCUGAGCACAGUGUAUGGUCCUUGGGGGCAUGAAGGAGAGCUAUAAAGGAUGUUAUGAGGAAUCCAGAUCAGAUAAUAGUUUUCUAUGGAGGUUAAAUUUCCCGAGUUUAAUAACUAUACUAUGAAAAUGUAGGAGAAGUUUAAGACUAAUAGGAACAAUGUCCCCAGUGUACUCUUAAAUAGAUGAGGGAGGGGAUGCGUGGAGGGAGAGAGGGAGAGAAUGAGAAAGGGAGAAUAAUAAAGUGAAUGAGACAAAAUGUGGUGAACUAUGGGUUGAUUUGCAUCUCCUAGAAUUUUAUAUAAACGUUAUUAUGUUGAAUGUACUCCUUUUUGCUGGCUUCUCUCAUACAUAAUUUCUUUGAGAGCCAUCCAUGUUGUAGCAGGCAUCCAAAUUCAUUCCUUUUCAUAGCUAAGUAGUAUUUCAUCUAACGGAUAAACCAGUUUGUCUAUUCAUUCCCCUGCUGUUGGACACUGGUUGUUUUCAGUUUUGGGCAGUCAGGAAUCAAGCAGCCAUGAUUUGUGUCCCAGUUCUUUGGGUGGGCAUUGCUUUUGUUUCAACAGAAUGCCUAGAUCAUAUAUAUGGUAGGUGUGUGUUAACUGUUUAAGAAAUUGCCCAACUAUUUUCCAAAGCAGCUGUACCCCCCAGUAGUGCACGAGGCUUCCUGUUUCUCCACAUUCUUUCCUUGGUAUGGACUGACUUGGUAUUGCUGGUCUUUUCCAUUAGAGCCCUUCCAGUGGACCUGUAGUGAUGUCUCCUUGUGGUUUUCACUUGCAUUUUCCUAGUGACCAGUGGUGUUGCUCUUAUCCCCCUGCCAUUCCCUCUCCUGCUUUUCUGGGGGCACUGCGACCUUCUGGGGCAAGACCUCAGGGACUUGCCCCUACAGCCCAGAGGUGAACAGUCACGUCCCGAACAGAAAGCAUGCAAGUGGAUGGGCCCAGGAUGAAGACUGGAGGGCCACAUAAGAGCCUGGGGUGCUUUCAGGCCAAGGUAUUUGUCCCAUGGCUCUGACGAGCAGAACCCACCCUUCAGAUGGGGCACCCACCUGCUCAGCAGCCCAUGCUCGAGCUUUUCCACAGGCAGGCAGUCAGUACACAGCAUGCUUCAGGUCCUAACCCUCAGAUGUGAUGUGUUUGCUCAACAACCCUUAAGUUCCUCCCCUGUGUUCAGUUCUGUGACCAGUAUAAGCCUUUGAUGGGUUUUGGUUAUUGGCAAUUAUCAGAGUAAAGUGAAAACUCUCAAGGAUAAUCUGCAAGGCCUUUCUUGAUCAAGUUCCUAAAUUUGGUCUUUCCUACCACAUCCUUCCACAUCCCUCCAGCCUACGCUCCACAUCUAACAAACACCCCAGUGUCCCAGACUUGCCAGCUCCUUCCUGCCUCCCUGCCUUAACCUUCCCUCCUGCUUCUCCCUCCCUUGGCCAGUGGAGACCUUCUCAGCCUGUCACAGCACCAAGCGUCCCUUGUGCCUCUCCUCAACCUCAAAGGAUGGUUUUUUCAGGACCAGCAUGGUCUCAACUGGAUCCAUGUACAGUUUAUGCGGGUCACGGGGAGUGGGGAGGGGGCUGUGAGCCGAAAGGCUGGAUGCUGUUACACACCCACUGCAGCACACAGAGGUUCCUCGUCAGCUGGGCCCGGCUGAAUUGAGUGCAUUUCUGCACCAUGCCUUCCCCCCCUGAUCGUGGGGACUGGGAUGACUCCCCACCGCCACCACUCCCACAUGUGGCUCACAAGUCACUCCAAUUGCCGGAGGUGGCACUCGCCAUGUUCUGAAAAGCUAAGUGCCUUCGCCCCCUUCGCCACCCUUACCUGGAACAGCCAUUUUUGUUGUGUGAACACAUGGCCCGGGAACUUAAACACUAAAACCAGUUAGUUCCUCAGGGGGCGUCAUCUUAACCAUGCCAAACUCAACAAGAUAUAAACUGGUCCUAGAAGCCUUCUCUUCCUCCUUCCUUCAUUUUUUUUUUUUUCUUUUUCUUGUUCCAGCAGCACUUAUCCAUCUGUGCUUCCACCACAGAGCUAUUCCCACUAGAAAUGCCGUGAAACCUUUCAAAUAAAAUAUUUAACGUGUGGAUCCAGUAAUUUUAUGUUGUGAGUUAUGAAACCUUUAUUCAGGUCCCACCUUUUAUUAAACUUCAGGGUUCGCCUUUGGUCUCUAAUGACAUUAUGUUGCAUCAGAAUUAGACAGUUUUUUACAGGGGUUUGUAUUAUUUGUUGUGACUCGGUAAUGCUAAUGUUUAAAUUUUGAGUCCUUUUACUGCUGAUUAAACCUCUAAAGACUACAGCAGAAUUUCCGCUUCGCUGCUAGAAGAAAAGAAAACAGCGCGGUUUGUUCUGAGGAGAUCACUUGAAGAAUGUGCGGGAAGGUGGCUGCAUUUAUGAAUAAAGCGAGGCAUUAUCAUUUUUAAUAGGAAUUAAACAGCUAGAGGGAGAAGUCGGGCAAUGCUGUGAUCAGUGCAAAGGAAAACAAUCUAACAAUUUUAAUUAACUGUAUUUUAAUAGCUUUAGUUAUAAUUGAAUAAUUUAAAUACCAAGGGAAACAGUUAAAUCUCCUAAAAGCCUUUUUUUAUUUACAUUUUAAAUACAGUUCACGGUGAAGAGAUGACAGUACAAGUGCUGGGAGCAAAUCACCGGGUCGACUCCAGCAGCCGGGCAAGCCCACGAGAGGUAGGAUGGAGCCCGAGUGAUCCCGGGCCGGGGACUGGCGUGCCUCGCUGCCUCGGCCGAGAUGGGCCCCAGAAAGAACCCAGGGCAGCAGUGGGCAGUGAGGACUUCCCAUCCCGCCCAGGGCCUACAGCUCGUCUGACGUCAAAGCUCAAAGCCCCCAGGCCAGUGGGGCCUGGAGUGACUCUUGCUAUUCAUUCAACGUUCAAGCGAUAUUUAUUGCAGGCCUACAGUAACAACCACCACGGCAGUAAUAAAACAGUAGAAGUAACAG